rnacentral:misc_RNA from 1 species
AGGCAAUUAGAUUAUAAUAUGCAAAAACUUAGAGAUGCAAAGAGCCAGUCCGCCACCAGAGCUGGUUUUUCAACCAACUACAGAGGUAAAUGGGCAUGGACACGGCGGAGCAGCAACUUGAACAAAAUCUUCAAGCAUCAGGAUUGCCAUUUUUAUGGUUGGUCUUAGAGUAGGAUCUUCCUGAAUGCACCAAAUGGCAACCUUCACAAAUCUCUCAAGCUUCUUCAUAUCAUUCAUGGCUUCCUCAUCAUUUUCAACCAAAGCACUUAUUAUUCCAUCUUGAUAGCAAUCGUAAGCCCAGUCAGUUAGAAUUGCUCUCUCUGCACUCACUUCUGUAUCCACACAUUUCCUACCACAAAUUAUCUCCAACAAUAAGACUCCGAAGCUGUACACAUCGGCCUUUACUGUGACUGGCAUGUUCCUGAACCAUUCUGGUGCAACAUACCCUCUUGUUCCUCUAGCAGCAGUAAACGUUUGGCUCUGGUCCAGCAGCAAAAGCUUUGCCAAUCCAAAAUCGGCAAUCUUGGCAUCACAAUGGUCAUCUAACAAAAUAUUUUGAGGCUUUAUAUCACAAUGAAUGAUUUGACUACUACACUCUUCGUGUAGGUAUGCAAGUCCUCUUGCAAUUCCAAAUGCUAUCUGGGUCCUCUGGCUCCAGCCGAGUUUUGCCUCUUUAAAAAGGAAGUUUGCUAGUGUUCCAUUGCUCAGGAACUCGUAUACCAACAAUCGAUGUUGUCCCUCAUCACAAAAUCCCACAAGCUGGACUAGAUUCUUGUGGUGGGUUUGGCCAAUCACUUUAACUUCAGUCCUGAAUUCUUUCUCACCUUCUUCAAAUAUUUUGUCCAAUUUCUUGACUGCAACUGGAACUUUAGUGCCCAUUUCUAAUAAGCCUUUAUAAACUAUGCCAAAAGAUCCCCUUCCUACCACUUCUUUGAAGCCAUCUGUUGCAAUAAAGAGCUCCUUGUAGCUAAAGCACCGCAAAUUGGAUUCUGCACCUCUUUCUGUACCUUGAG